GUGGAGCUGGAAAGGUGGAGGCGGAAGUGACUGAUCAAUUCAGGGGCGUGGGGUUCGUUUAGGUUUUGCCCUGUGUAUGACCUCGUUUGGAGCCAUGAAACCAGCCUCAAGCUUUAUUCUAGGAAGAUGAGCAAAGCAGACCUUGGUGGCCAGAGGGGAGCCCUCAGGUAGAGCUGCAGAUGCUGGCAGUUUGUGUUAGAAGGUUCCGGGGCUAAACAGAUGCCUAGAAUUAGCCACCAAAAGGUAAAUUGUAGACUCCACUCUUCAAGAAGCAGCAGAAGGAUUAGGAAUUCAAACAGUGCUAUUUUACGGUGGCUUUUCUACAAUAUAAAGAUGGAAAUGGGAAGAAGAUGUUCAUUGCAAAUUAAGGAAGCUCUUCCACGAGUUCACGAAUGGAAAU
rnacentral:lncRNA from 1 species